CCCACUAUGUUGGCCAGGCUUGUCUAGAACUCCUAGCCUCAAGUGAUUCUCCCACUUCAGGUUCCCAAAGUGGGUUUUAUUCUUAUUCAAAUGUGGUAAGGCCAAUAGAUCAAGAAAUGAUAGCCAUUGCAAAGAUAGUUUGUUAGUCACAGUUCCCAAGAAAAGAAGGCAGCCUGUGCCAUGCAGGGCACAUGGUGGAACAUCAGGGUUGGUCAGGAGGCAAAAGAGGAAAAGGAGGCGCGAGCCUUCCUGCGGCUAAGAUGGCGACCGAGAUCCCCGAGCCUCCCAAAGCCGAAUUGCAGCUGCCGCCGCAGCCACCUCCUGGGCAUUAUGGCGCCUGGGCUGCCCAGGAGCUGCAGGCCAAGUUGGCAGAGAUCGGCGCUCCGAUCCAGGGGAGUUGCGAGGAGCUGGUGGAGCGGCUGCAGAGCUACACUCGCCAGACUGGCAUUGUGCUGAAUCGGCCCCCGAUUUUGAGAGGGGAAGAUGGGGACAAAGCUGCCCCACCUCCCAUGUCAGCACAGCUUUCUGGCAUUCCCAUGCCACCGCCACCGAUGGGACUCCCCCCUCUGCAACCUCCUCCGCCACCCCCACCACCUCCACCAGGCCUUGGCUUUCCUAUGGCCCAUCCCCCAAAUUUGGGCCCCCCACACUCCCUCCGUGUGGGUGAGCCUGUGGGACUGUCAGAGGAGGAGCUGCUGAAGCUAGCACAACAGCAGGCGGCGUUGUUGAUGCAGCAAGAGGAGCGUGCCAAGCAGCAGGGAGAUCAUUCACUGAAGGAACAUGAGCUUUUGGAGCAGCAGAAGCGGGCAGCCGGGUUACUGGAGCAGGAACGGCAGCAGGAGAUUGCCAAGAUGGGCACCCCUGUCCCUCGGCCCCCACAAGACUUGGGCCAGAUGGGUGUGCGCACUCCUUUGGGUCCUCGAGUGGCUGCUCCAGUGGGCCCCACUCCCACUGUUUUGCCCAUGGGAGCCCCUGUUCCUCGGCCUCGUGGUCCCCCCCCCACCCCCUGGAGAUGAGAACAGAGAGAUGGAUGACCCCUCUGUGGGCCCCAAGAUACCCCAGGCCCUGGAGAAGAUCCUGCAGCUGAAGGAGAGCCGCCAGGAGGAGAUGAACUCUCAGCAGGAGGAAGAGGAAAUGGAAACAGACACUCGCUCAUCCCUGGGCCAGUCAGCAUCAGAGACUGAGGAGGACACAGUGUCCAUAUCCAAAAAAGAGAAAAACCGGAAGCGUCGGAACCGAAAGAAGAAGAAAAAACCCCAGCGGGUGCGGGGGGGGUGUCAUCUGAGAGCUCUGGGGACCGAGAGAAAGACUCAGCCCGGUCCCGGGGCUCUGACUCCCCAGCUGCUGAUGUUGAGAUCGAGUAUGUGACCAAAGAACCUGAAAUCUACGAGCCCAACUUCAUCUUCUUCAACAGGAUCUUUGAGGCUUUCAAGCUCACCGACGAUGUGAAGAAGGAGAAAGAGAAGGAGCCAGAGAAACUUGACAAACUGGAGAAUUCUGCAGCCCCCAAGAAGAAGGGCUUUGAGGAGGAGCACAAGGACAGUGACGAUGACAGCAGUGAUGAUGAACAGGAAAAGCCAGAAGCCCCCAAGCUGUCCAAGAAGAAGAUGCGCCGGAUGAAUCGCUUCACUGUGGCUGAGCUCAAGCAGCUGGUGGCUCGGCCUGACGUCGUGGAGAUGCAUGAUGUGACAGCACAGGACCCUAAGCUCUUGGUUCACCUCAAGGCCACUCGGAACUCCGUGCCUGUGCCACGCCACUGGUGUUUUAAGCGCAAGUACCUGCAGGGUAAACGGGGUAUCGAGAAGCCCCCGUUCGAGCUGCCAGACUUCAUCAAACGCACAGGCAUCCAGGAGAUGCGGGAGGCCCUGCAGGAAAAGGAAGAACAGAAGACCAUGAAGUCAAAAAUGCGAGAGAAGGUUCGGCCCAAGAUGGGCAAGAUUGACAUUGACUACCAGAAACUGCAUGAUGCCUUCUUCAAGUGGCAGACCAAACCAAAGCUGACCAUCCAUGGGGACCUAUACUAUGAGGGGAAGGAGUUUGAGACACGACUGAAGAAGAAGCCAAGAGAUUUGUCCGACGAGCUAAGGAUUUCCUUGGGGAUGCCAGUAGGACCAAAUGCCCACAAGGUCCCUCCUCCGUGGCUGAUUGCCAUGCAGAGAUAUGGGCCACCCCCGUCCUACCCCAACCUGAAAAUCCCCGGCCUGCACUCGCCCAUCCCUGAGAGCUGUUCCUUUGGGUACCAUGCUGGUGGCUGGGGCAAACCCCCAGUAGAUGAGACUGGGAAACCACUCUAUGGGGACGUGUUUGGAACCAAUGCUGCUGAAUUUCAGACCAAGACUGAGGAAGAAGAGAUUGAUCGGACCCCUUGGGGGGAACUGGAGCCAUCUGAUGAAGAAUCUUCAGAAGAAGAGGAAGAAGAGGAUAGCGAUGAAGACAAACCAGAUGAGACAGGCUUUAUUACCCCUGCAGACAGUGGCCUCAUCACUCCUGGAGGGUUCUCAUCAGUCCCAGCUGGAAUGGAGACCCCUGAACUCAUCAUUGAGCUGAGAAAGAAGAAGAUUGAGGAGGCAAUGGAUGGAAGUGAGACUCCUCAGCUGUUCACUGUAUUGCCAGAGAAGAGAACAGCCACCGUUGGGGGAGCUAUGAUGGGAUCAACCCACAUUUAUGACAUGUCCACAGUUAUGAGCCGGAAGGGCCCGGCCCCCCAGCUGCAAGGUGUGGAAGUGGCCCUGGCACCUGAAGAGUUGGAGUUGGAUCCCAUGGCCAUGACCCAGAAGUAUGAGGAGCACGUGCGGGAGCAGCAGGCACAAGUGGAGAAGGAAGACUUCAGUGACAUGGUGGCGGAGCAUGCUGCCAAACAGAAGCAAAAGAAGCGGAAAGCUCAGCCCCAGGACAGCCGUGGGGGCAGCAAGAAAUACAAGGAGUUCAAAUUUUAGGUCCCUGUCACACACCUGGCCCUCCUUUAGGUCGUUUGGAUGUCUGGGCUUCACACAUGGGUCCCCAAGAGCCACCUCGCCUGCAUUUCCCAAAAGCUUGUCAUUUCAUGUUAUCUUAGAUGUGUUUUGUAAAUAAAGCUGUUUCCAAGGG